rnacentral:tRNA from 1 species
CAGAUAUUAGUUUAUUAAAAAUUUUAAUUUUGGAGAUUAAAGAUAGAAAUUUUUCUAUAUCUGA